rnacentral:lncRNA from 1 species
AACAAAUUAUUUUCAGGCCCUGCUAGUCUGUUGGCUGUCUCUUUCUGAUGUGUGAGAGAAAGGGAAUAUUCACUGACCAUUUCAUAAAUUGAAAGGAGACAGAAAACAGUAACUAAAACCUUCAUAAAAACUGAGGUUAAAUUUGAAUUGUAUCAACCAAGAAACAUUCGUGUACAGAUAACCAGUUUUUAAGGACAAAACUCACCUGCUUUUGUUUUAUAUUUUUGCCUUAAAGGUUUUCUAACAAACGUGAUCCUUUUGACUCAUCAACGGGGGAUGAUGAUAAUUUUGAUGACAUGGAAGAAUCAACAGCAUCACUGUUUAGAAAAGCAGCAGAGGGUGAAGGCAGAGGGUGCAAAAAGUAUAAAAGUGGUAAGUUAGUGAAUAUUUCUGAGUGUCUUGUUUAUAUCCUGUUACUUUAAAAGUGU